ACAAGCGGAGGAGCAUGUGGUUUAAUUCGAUGAUACGCGAGGAACCGUUACCUGGGCUCGAACGUAAGAUGACUGUAGGUGAAAGCUUACAUCUCUUCGGAGCAUUUUACGAGGUGCUGCAUGGUUGUCGUCAGCUCGUGCCGUGAGGUGUCGGGUUAAGUCCCAUAACGAGCGCAACCCCUACCUUUAGUUGCCAUCAGGUUAAGCUGGGGACUCUAAAGGAACUGCCUACGCAAGUAGUGAGGAAGCGGGGAUGACGUCAAAUCAGCACGGCCCUUACGUCCAGGGCUACACACGUGCUACAAUGGCCGAUACAGAGGGCAGCUACCUGGUGACAGGAUGCAAAUCUCCAAAGUCGGUCUCAGUUCGGAUCGGAGUCUGCAACCCGACUCCGUGAAGUUGGAUUCGCUAGUAAUCGCGCAUCAGCCAUGGCGCGGUGAAUACGUUCCCGGGCCUU
rnacentral:rRNA from 1 species